AGAAUCAACGCUGGCGGCGUGCCUAACACAUGCAAGUCGAACGAGAAAGGGUAGCAAUACCUGAGUAAAGUGGCGCACGGGUGAGUAACACGUGACUAACCUACCCUAGAGUGGGGGAUAACUGAGGGAAACCUUAGCUAAUACCGCAUAAUACCCACGGGUCAAAGGAGCAAUUCGCUUUAGGAGGGGGUCGCGGUCGAUUAGUUAGUUGGCGGGGUAAUGGCCCACCAAGACUUUGAUCGAUAUCCGGCCUGAGAGGGCGCACGGACACACUGGAACUGAAACACGGUCCAGACUCCUACGGGAGGCAGCAGUGGGGAAUUUUGCGCAAUGGGGGAAACCCUGACGCAGCAACGCCGCGUGGAGGAUGAAGUACUUCGGUACGUAAACUCCUUUCGAUCGGGACGAUAAUGACGGUACCGGAAGAAGAAGCCCGGCUAACUUCGCGCCAGCAGCCGC
rnacentral:rRNA from 1 species